rnacentral:rRNA from 1 species
GACGAACGCUGGCGGCGUGCCUAAUACAUGCAAGUAGAACGCUGAAGAGAGGAGCUUACUCUUCUUGGAUGAGUUGCGAACGGGUGAGUAACGCGUAGGUAACCUGCCUUGUAGCGGGGGAUAACUAUUGGAAACGAUAGCUAAUACCGCAUAACAAUGGAUGACACAUGUCAUUUAUUUGAAAGGGGCAAUUGCUCCACUACAAGAUGGACCUGCGUUGUAUUAGCUAGUAGGUGAGGUAAUGGCUCACCUAGGCGACGAUACAUAGCCGACCUGAGAGGGUGAUCGGCCACACUGGGACUGAGACACGGCCCAGACUACUACGGGAGGCAGCAGUAGGGAAUCUUCGGCAAUGGGGGCAACCCUGACCGAGCAACGCCGCGUGAGUGAAGAAGGUUUUCGGAUCGUAAAGCUCUGUUGUAAGUCAAGAACGGGUGUGAGAGUGGAAAGUUCACACUGUGACGGUAGCUUAACAGAAAGGGACGGCUAACUACGUG